UCUACUUAUGAACACGGUUUGUGUACAUACAUACAUAUAUAGGACUGAAUUGUUUUUCUUCUUACGUUCUUCGUUGAAUUUUUAGAUAUAAUUUAUGACAUGUACGCAUAUAAAUACAUAAUGUACACGUGUAAUCGUAUAAGCAUAGGUAUAGGUAUGUCGGAGGGCGUUGCAAAACUCUACGUCUCAUGACGCCAAAUCAGUAAAACAGAACACAAUGUUUAACAAAACUUUAUGUAAAGAAACUGGGAAUUGAACUUUAACAAACGCAAAUGAAGAAUUAACAAUAAUAAUUAUAAUUUUCUCAAAAUUUGCACCGAAAGAGACGUAAGCGGUUCCGUGUCGGUUUCUUUUCCUUUUUCCGACAUUCAAUUUUUAUUCAAAUGAAUUUUCAAUCGAAAGAAUUGUUUUUCCAUUCACGACUCCGCUCGAGCAUGUGUUUCUGAACAAACUUACAGCUCCGCCCCUCUCGAUACAACACAUCUCAAAACCAUGUUCCACCGAUAGGUAUAAUAUACCUAUAAUACAUGGGGGCGGGUAACCGCAUGGUAUACCCGUUGAUGAAAAAUUGAAGAACGGAAGAAAGGGAAAGAGAGAAACUGAGAGAAGAAGCGAAAGGAAUAUAUACAGGGAUCAGUCGCUCGCAGUAACAUCUCGAGUCUCAACCUAUUAUGAUUACGGAUAAAUCAGGCGUAGGAGCUCCAGAGUAACCCGAGAGUACCGGAACCCUCCUCCUUCUUUUUCUUCUCUUCGUCUUGUAUAAUAUCUUUCCACUUUUUUUCUUGCUUCUCCUCCCCCGCCCCUUUUGCUCCCGUAGCGUUUAGGGUGAUACACUUAAUUACAUACCUUCGCUUAAACAAGAUAUUCAUUAUACCUACGCAUACGUAGCCAUGGUUAUCAUUAGCUAUUGUUGAUACAAAUAUAUGUAUCACUUUUUUGUGUGCAUGUGCAAUAUGUACCACUUUAGAAAUGGUUGAAUAGUUUAAUUUUAAGAUAGUUUAUCAUUUUAUAUGUACGACUUCUAUAUUUAACCGAAAAUUUAUAAUUUUUAAGCUGUCGUGCGUGUAAUGUAUAGUAUAUUCGGUUGCAAAUUCGAAUGACUGAUAUAAAAGACGGGGGUAACGUUUAAUAAACGUGAAAAUUAAAAAAAUUCAGAGCCAGUGCAUAUGCGCCAUCCGCCGGCGAUUCAUUAGCAAACCGUGUCUCCUGUGUUCGUCGUUGUAAAAACUUAGUACGAAGUGAUUCAUUAACGGAAAUUCCAACGCGACAAAAUCGAAGUCCGAGACUUGGGCUGUUUUAGUGGUUUUCAAAAUUUUUAGAACAAUUCAUUGAAAAAAAAAACAGUUAUAGUUUGAUUGGGUCCACGUGGCGUUGCCGGUACAGGCGGUGUUGGAGAGGUUGAUAAAGAUGGCGAAGGGGACGGUGAAAAAGACGGAGAUCUUGACGAAGAAGGCGAAGGUGAUGGGGAAGGUGACGGUGACGGUGAUGGGGAGGAUAUUUUUGUAUUUGUUGCCGCUCCACCAGCACUUCCAGAUAAUUCUUUCGACGAUGAUUUUAUUCGCGUUUUUGUUGUUGCCCGAUGCGGCGGCCUGCUGCCCAUUAUAUUAUACGGUUGUUACUUAUAAUUAGUCUUGUCAGCAAUAUUUCGACGCGUUCAUUAAUUAGUCGAAAUAAUAAAAAUAUCGAAUCAUACGUAUUACAAAA